rnacentral:rRNA from 1 species
AAACGGUAGCUAAUACCGCAUAACGUCGCAAGACCAAAGAGGGGGACCUUCGGGCCUCUUGCCAUCAGAUGUGCCCAGAUGGGAUUAGCUAGUAGGUGGGGUAACGGCUCACCUAGGCGACGAUCCCUAGCUGGUCUGAGAGGAUGACCAGCCACACUGGAACUGAGACACGGUCCAGACUCCUACGGGAGGCAGCAGUGGGGAAUAUUGCACAAUGGGCGCAAGCCUGAUGCAGCCAUGCCGCGUGUAUGAAGAAGGCCUUCGGGUUGUAAAGUACUUUCAGCGAGGAGGAAGGUGUUGAGGUUAAUAACCUCAGCAAUUGACGUUACCCGCAGAAGAAGCACCGGCUAACUCCGUGCCAGCAGCCGCGGUAAUACGGAGGGUGCAAGCGUUAAUCGGAAUUACUGGGCGUAAAGCGCACGCAGGCGGUCUGUCAAGUCGGAUGUGAAAUCCCCGGGCUCAACCUGGGAACUGCAUU